rnacentral:rRNA from 1 species
UACGUAGGGUGCAAGCGUUGUCCGGAAUUAUUGGGCGUAAAGGGCUCGUAGGCGGUCUGUCACGUCGGGAGUGAAAACUCGGGGCUUAACCCCGAGCCUGCUUCCGAUACGGGCAGACUAGAGGUAUGCAGGGGAGAAUGGAAUUCCUGGUGUAGCGGUGAAAUGCGCAGAUAUCAGGAGGAACACCGGUGGCGAAGGCGGUUCUCUGGGCAUUACCUGACGCUGAGGAGCGAAAGUGCGGGGAGCGAACAGG